AUUGCCCACGUUUUUGCACGUAGACAGCACGCAUUUGCACGUAUGGCGGGUUGUGCCCUUAAUUAGCUUAAGGAUCGAAUUUUUCUUAGUAGUGGAUCGUAUGUUUUUCGUAAGGAUCGUAUGAAUACUUAGGUACCCCUGUAAUGGCGGCAUCCAAACUAUAAUGAAACAAGCUAUUUGCCACAAAGAAAUCAAUCAAGACCAUAGCAUGCCAAUGUCAAGAGAUCCAAACAAGGGAGUUGAGAUAAUAAACACCGGUCCUGAGAUUGAGCUGUUCCUGAGAACGUGCCGGAUCAUAAACGACAUAGUGGCAAGUGGCGAAGUGUGUCAGUGACAUAUAGGUAAACUAACGAGCAUGGAGGCUGCCGUUUAUCAGCGGUAAACCUGGGAUGUUUCACCGUUUUCAUUAUACGUUGUACACUAUUUGUAGCACUGUUGUGUAGGUGCCGUUUCUUACUAAUGACUGCACCCAAGGCCAAUGACUUAGAAUUGUAAAGUAGAGUAGUUUUUAACAGGUUUCUGUUUGCUUCCUGAUAGGUGCUUCCAGAUUUUUUCACAGUGUGAUAUUUUUUGUAGGAAAAUGAAAGAACUACAAGCUUAGACAACCCUUACUCUACACAUGCAUCUAUCUCUUUACCAGAAAAAACAACUAGAUUCUUGCAGUCGACUACACGCUCAAUUUCAGACCUGUCAAAUGCAAUUUGUUGCCGCGGAGAUGAAGGGCUCAGAUGCAUGUAGUUUGUUUUGAACGGUUUUGAAUUAAGGCCGAUGGCCUGACAUGCCUCCUAUACUUAUACUGUUUAGCAGAAUUUGUGCGAAGUGGAUAGAGUUUUCGAGAAGGGUUAUGUCGUCUGCAAAGUCAAUGUCAGCAAGGACUUCGACAGGGUAGUGACGGCUAUGACGACUGCGUACGGUAAAGCCUUCAGUGUCUGAGAUAGAACACCUGAAUAAAAACAUGUCAAGAGGGUCCCCUUGAAGAACGUCAGAGCCAAUGCUAAACACAUUAGUCGUUCCAUCUGGAGUUAGACAGCUGCAGAUUUAUGACAGCCCCGCCCCCAGGAGUCGGAGACUAUCCCACAACAGGAGGCGGAGACCCUCCAACGGGGCGGAACAAGAGACAAAAAAAAGAUUAAUUACAAGAGGCGGGCCUCCACGUGAUGUAUCGGCGGUCGACCAAUCGAGCACAUUCUCAGGAUAUCAGCUGACCAUUCUGGAGAUCUCAUCAUUUUGACCAUCAUUGAAGACACUGGAGUGGGGAUGAGUGGACGUGUUGGAAAAUGCCCCUCUGUUAUCCACUGUAUUUUUCCUUAUUCAGAAGUAGGUAGCAGAAAGGCAAAGAGGCAGGCGUGCGGAGGUCCGAUGGAGAAAAUAUAUAAAAGCUCUACAUGACAGUAUCGACAACAGUCACAAGAAAGACCUGAACUUGGACGGCAGUCAGAUGACCAGCAACAACAGCUUUAAAAUACAACCUACUAGUCUAUCACCUCAGCAAAACGGGAACCAAUGUAUAUGUAAUCUUGACAAUCAGUCUAUAGUUCCAGGACUGGUUCUGUGGUACUAAUAGCCAUGCAUACAACUUGUUACAAGAUUGACAGAAAUACAAAACAGAGAGUUUCUCCUUGAAUGUAGUACCAAGAUUCGCGUUAUAGACAAACAUCCAAAGUUAUAAAGCAAAAAAAAAUGUCCUGUUCUGCAAGCUUUAUAUAGUGAAUCUAUUUGUGUCUUCAGAUGUAAUAAAAGUAUGUUUGAUGUGUACGUUGAUGAAAUAAAGGUAUAGAUAAUUGUGUG